UACGGAGGGGGCUAGCGUUGUUCGGAAUUACUGGGCGUAAAGCGCGCGUAGGCGGCUUUGUAAGUUAGAGGUGAAAGCCUGGAGCUCAACUCCAGAACUGCCUUUAAGACUGCAUCGCUAGAAUCGUGGAGAGGUGAGUGGAAUUCCGAGUGUAGAGGUGAAAAUUCGUAGAUAUUCGGAAGAAACACCAGUGGCGAAGGCGACUCACUGGACACGUAUUGACGCUGAGGUGGCGAA
rnacentral:rRNA from 1 species